rnacentral:lncRNA from 1 species
AUGGUAAGAGGGAUUACCUGUGAGGGAGCCAAUCUCUUCAGCACUCAUCUGACAGGUUGCUGCAGAACUGGUUGGUCUCUCCAAUGCCAGCAGAUGAAAGGAUAUUCAGUUCAUGCUCUGAGCAGCAUUUUCAUUUCCUCUGGGUCUUGUGGAGCUCCUGCUAUUGACCAACUCAUUCUGCAGCCAUGCCCCCACAUCUUUUGGCAUCCCAGACACCUACAGGAGGUGGCUGCUCUGCUGCUGCCAAGCAUAAGCAAAAUAGGUACAGUACUGGUGAUGA